UUGGGCUUUCUUCUGGAAAAACGUCCUUGUAUUCCUGCAAAAGAGGCAAAACGCUGCUCGGAAGAUCCGGCUCACGGUCAGUAAGACUAGCCAAAGCAUUUCUAAACAUUAACAAGACAAAGGAUUGUCUCGUAAGCACGGCGUGCUUAAGUUCACUUGGCCUCACGAAAAGAGUUUCUUUCCUCACGGGUAAACUCUCUAAGGCCGUUUCUGGGGUUUUUCUCAGACUCUCAG
rnacentral:lncRNA from 1 species